UUUUUUUUUUUUUUUACGCUUAGGGCCCUUUGUGGAAAAUAAAGGGCAAAGUCUGUUAUGACCUUGAAGUCCGCAUUAGAACUUGGCUUGGUGUAUAUGACUGUGAGAGCUAUGAAGGCACUUAGACGCUAAGGACUGGAAUAGAUCAGGUGAACUUGUCGUGAUUCUUAUAUAGGUCUCAGAGCAGUGCAGUAAGUCUUUUUGCAGUCAUAAGGACUGAUGAGAAAUUGGAUCACGUAGUCUCUGGAUUUGGUUGGAAUAUAAACUCAGGGGGCAGUCUGGGUGGCUCAGCGGUUUGGCCAGCCUUCGGCCCAGGGUUUGAUCCUGGAGUACUGGGAUCGAGUCCCACGUCAGGCUCCCUGCAUGGAGCCUGCUUCUCCCUCUGCCUCUCUCUCUCUCUCUCUGUCUCUCUCUGUCUCUCGUGAGUAAAUAAAUAAAAUCUUUAAAAAAAAAAAAAAAGGAAUAUAAACUCAGGCAGUUUCUUUUUGUUUAAGCCUCUUGAGUCUUUAACCACAUAACCUGCUUUUGGUUCCUCUGCCCUGAAUUUAAAAGGCCAGGCUAAUUAUCUCUGCAGCCUGUUUAGUGAAGGGGAAGUCUUAUGAGACCUGUUCUAGAGAACUCUGACCUGAUAUUCAAAUGCUUUAGAAAAAACCCUGUUUUUUUGGUUCUCUUUGUAGAGAAAGUACAAAGUACACAAUAAACUUAAAUCUGUAGCAUGAUUAGAAUGUCUGAAACCAUAUUCUGGUAACAUAGAAAACUUGUAUUUUAAGUAUUGUCAAAAAUAAAAUAAAUCAUUAUAGGAAAGUUUCUUUUCUUUCCUCUUCACCUUGUUUUAGAGGCUAUCAGUUAUAAAUUUAGUUAUUCUUGGCUUCCAUUUUCCUUUCUCUGUUCAUUAUUUCCAAAACUGGCCAUGCACGUACCAUGUCAUGGUUUUUGCCAAGUUAGAGAAUGCAUUCCAAAAUUAUUUGAUUAUUAUUUUUUCUAUACAUUGACAUUAAACAUUUUAUUUCAUUCUAAAUAAUAUCUGUGCUAUUACUAUUUUGAUGUAUCAACUUUUCCUAAUACAUGUUAAAAUAAAUACCCAUUUAAAAAAAAAAAAACAUGUUUUCCUGUAUACCAUCUAAAUUUGCAAAACUUACCCUGGUCUCUCUGGUCUUGGAAUACUUGUUGAAUUGGUCUAUAUUUGGCUGACAUAUUAAAAACUAUCUACAGAAAAACUGACUUUUUCUUCUUUAUAGUGGUCUAAAUUUCACUGAAUAAAUUUAGGAAACAUAACAAACUGUUAGUAACGGUUUUCUCUCUCUACAACAGGACUGUAUCUUCCACACUUGAUACCCCUGGAAAUAAACUUAAGAAUUUCUUUCUCCUUUUCUUACUUCCUACCUCUCUGAAUCCAGUUACAAGUUGUUUUACCAGUAGUUCCUACAUAAUUUAGCAAAUACCUUUAACCUUGAAAAUCAAGCACACUAUCUCUUUUUCACUUUUUUCCCCCUUGCAUACUUUAAGCUGAUAAGGUGCUAGGAGAAGUGGCUUCUAGCAUAUGAAAAAUACUCAACUUAAUUUUCGAUAAGAGACUUGCAAAUCAUAUAUACACUGGGCAGUUUGAUAUCUCAGUAUGUUGGUAGGGGUGUGCAGGAACAGGAACUUUCAUGCACUGCUGUUAGGAGUGUAAAUUAAUACAAAUGCUGUGGAGGGCAGUUUGCCAGUAUCCAUCAUAAUUACAGUAUAUGCUCUCAUCGAUCCAUUCCUUCCAGGAAUUUAUCCUCUAUAGAUUUAUUCUUAUGCCUAUUUAGUGACACAGACACAAAGUUAGUAUAGCAUAGUGUGUAAUGGCAACAGAUUAGAAAGGACAUAAAUGUCCAUUAGUAGGGAACUGGUUAGGAAUAUCCAACCAAUGAAAUAUUAAUCUAAUCAGCUGUAGAAAAAAAACCUUUCAUAUAUGGUUAUGGAAAGAUCUCUGAGAUAUAAAUGGAAAAAAUAAAGUAUGUUUAAUAUGCUCAUUAUUUGUAUAAAAAGAACAUAUAUGCACACACAUAUUUAUGUGUAUAAACUAUCUCUGGGAGACUGCACAAAACCUAAUAACAUUGGUUGCUUUGGGUGGUGGGAACUUAGACCAGUGGAAGUUUUCACUGUAUCCUUUUAUGCUUUUUGAAUUUUGAAAACUAUGAAUAUAUUAUCUAUUUAGAAAAAAUACAUGUGUCAUGAGAUUCUUCACUGUGUUUAUAUUUUAAGAGAUAGUCUGUACAUCUCUUUUGCCUUUCUGCUCAUCAGGAACUGACCCUUUCUGGGCUUUUUUCUCUCAGAUGAAUUUUUUAUGAAAUAUAGGUUGUAAAUCUCUUUAGGGAUCAAUUUUAUGUUAUUAUUUAAAUCUACUGUUUUUUUUUUAAUUAUUUUUGUGCUAACUUCAUUUCUAAGGAUAAAUCAAAAGGGGUAGAACCACUACUUAGAUAAGCUGUUACAUUUAGCCAAUGACAAGAGAGAAGGCAGAUUUUUAAAAUUUCUAUUUUGUUUCUAUUUUAUUCAGUAAGAUAUUUUCAAAUUGAAAAGGUAAAGAGGCAAUGUUGGUUUGUUUUGAGUAAUGGUAGACUAGUAAUCAGAUCAGUUCUCCCACUGGGGACAAUUAGGAAAUAAUUGUCAACAUAUGAAUAUUUGCUUGAAUAUCCUGGAAAGCUAGCCAGAUAAUGAAGAAUUACUAGACUAUAAUCAAUGUGAAGGCAGAAGUAUAGAGGCCCAAGGAUAAGAGUCCAUUUUGGGGUCUCCUUUCACAUCUGAUGGCAUAUGCUGGAUUCGUAAGUGGAGAGGCUUUUCAAGGCUGCAGAUGUGCCUUUCUGGAUUAGAGAGGCAAAGAUUAAUGUUUAGAACUAAUCAAGUGGGGGGAACCUGGUGAACUCCCUUUACUCUAGGUUGGGACUAUGAAAGGCCAUGUUCUGAAAGUAAGGGUAAAUUAGAAUUAGGCCAUUGCAGGGGCUAUAACUCAGCUUCAGAAAAAUCUUAAAUUCGUGAAAUUGGGUUAAGGUGCCCCCAGGCUGCUAAUGUCCCCAGGUAUGUGGAAAAAGCAGAGGCAAACCUCUGGAGGCUCAUAUAGAUUAGGCUUCAGAUUAUUUCUACAAUUUUGUGAGAACAGUUUCUGGCACAUUUCCUAAAUGACCAGAUGCCUGAGAAGAGAACGUGAACAAAAAUCAAAAGAAACAACAGGUAGUAAAAAUCAAUCCAAAGGGGCACCAGACUAAAACAUAAUUAUAUUUAUUAUGCUCAAAAUAAAAGACAAGUUUGAGAUAUUUGGCAAAUAAUUAAAAUUUAUAAAAAUAGAACCAAAUAGAAAUUCUAUAAUUGAAACAUACAGAUGAGAAUUUAGAACUCAGUUGAUAGGUUUAGCAAAAAGUUGCUAUAUCUGAAGACAGAAUAAUGAACUGAUCAGAAGAAAGUAUCUAGAAGGAAAUAUGUAAAAGUGCAACAGUGGAAAAUUCAGGAAAGAGGUAAGAGAUAUAGAAUAUAUGGUGAAAAAGUCUAACACUUGUAUAAUUGGAGUCUUAAAAGGUGAGGAGAGCAAGAAUGGACAGAAGCAAUGUUUGAUGAGAUAAUAGCUAUGGGAUGCCUGAGUGGCUCAGUGAUUGAGUGCCUGCCUUCGGCCCAGGGUGUGAUCCUGGAGUCCCAGGAUUGAGUCCCACAUGGGGCUCCUGCAUGGAGCCUACUUCUCCCUCUGCCUAUGUCUCUGCCUCUCUCUCUUUGUCUCUCAUGAAUAAAAUCUUUAAAAGAGAGAGAGAGAUAAUAGCUAUGAAUUUUCCAAAGCUAACGGAAUGCACAGUUUUAAGAAGCCCUACGUAUCACAAGCAGAAGUACAAUGAAAUCUAUAGUAGAUACACAUUAAGGUAAAACUGCUAUAAAAAUGGGGCACCUGAGUGGCUCAGUUGGUUAAGAGUCUGAGUUGUAUUUUCUGUUCACGUCAUGAUCUCAGGGUCAUGAGAUGGAGCCCCAUGUCAGAUUCUGCGCUCAGUGGGGAGUCUGCUUGAGAUUCUCUCCUUCUCCUUCUGCCCUUCCCCCCACUCGUGCAUUCUCUUGCUCGCUCUCUAAAAAAAAAACAAAAA
rnacentral:lncRNA from 1 species